AAUAAAUGUGUGUUCCCUGGUGUAAACGAUGAUGUACAGAGAAAGUGCUUUACAGUAUGGGGAGAAACUCGGUUCUUUCAAAUGGAUGUGGUAUUAAAGUUUGUUCAAAGCCAAAGCCAGGGUUCAGUUGCAGAAAACAGAAAGGGAUUUAAUGCCGGAAAUGAAAAUCAGUGAAGACCAGGAGGAGGAGGCUAACUCCCAGAAUAACUCCCAGAACCACACUGCAGCACUGGCCCACCAAGAGACCCGCUCCCUCCCUCUGCUACAGUCAAGAUGUCAGACUCACACCCACCCAUUAGCUCCAGGAGCACACCAUCUUGAUGUGAUCUAGGAAUGAGAAGUUGCCACCAGAAUUCUUAGCUCCAGCAAAACACUCCUUCUGAUCUAUCACCUCUGGAUCAGGACACUGAUGCUAGAACUGUCAGCUCCAGAGUUUCAUCACACCUGCUACACCUCAGCAAAAUGAAUGCCUCAGGCAUCACCUUUCCUCCUAUUUCAUUGAGUUUGAAAUCAAGUUUCACAGGAAUGCAUCCUAUUGGCAAAACGUAUUUACAUUGAGGGUCCUAGUUGCAAGGGAGCCUGGGAAACAAGAAUCCUGAGUUUCCCAGCCUCUCUAAUAUAGGAUGACACACUAAAAACAGAUAAGAAUAGAUGCUGGAUGAGCCAACUGACUGUACCCAACCACUUCCCAACAUAGUGAAUAAUAUGGAAACAUUCUUAGGAUCCUAUGGAGAAAAGUAUUUUUCUUUUCAUUCCUCAGAGAUGCUGCUAGAUUUCAUUUGCUAAAACUUCAGUAAACGUUUUUUGCAUCAAUAUUCAUAAUUGAUUUUUGUCAGGAAUUUUGUGUGCAAUUACUGUCAGUUUUGAGUAAGAAGCAUAUGUCACUUUUAUUAUUAUAAUCCGGAAUUUUCUUCAUUUUGUCUCUGUUCUAGAACAAUUUUAAAAACA